CCUACGGGGGGCAGCAGUGGGGAAUAUUGGACAAUGGGGGCAACCCUGAUCCAGCCAUGCCGCGUGUGUGAAGAAGGCCCUCGGGUUGUAAAGCACUUUCAGUGAGGAAGAACGCCUGGUGGUUAAUACCCAUCAGGAAAGACAUCACUCACAGAAGAAGCACCGGCUAACUCCGUGCCAGCAGCCGCGGUAAUACGGAGGGUGCGAGCGUUAAUCGGAAUUACUGGGCGUAAAGCGCGCGUAGGUGGCUUGAUAAGCCGGUUGUGAAAGCCCCGGGCUCAACCUGGGAACGGCAUCCGGAACUGUCAAGCUAGAGUGCAGGAGAGGAAGGUAGAAUUCCCGGUGUAGCGGUGAAAUGCGUAGAGAUCGGGAGGAAUACCAGUGGCGAAGGCGGCCUUCUGGACUGACACUGACACUGAGGUGCGAAAGCGUGGGUAGCAAACAGGAUUAGAUACCCCAGGUAGUC
rnacentral:rRNA from 1 species